rnacentral:rRNA from 1 species
ACUCCUACGGGAGGCAGCAGUGAGGAAUAUUGGUCAAUGGGCGAGAGCCUGAACCAGCCAAGUAGCGUGCAGGAUGACGGCCCUAUGGGUUGUAAACUGCUUUUGUAUGGGGAUAAAGUCAAUCACGUGUGAUUGUUUGCAGGUACCAUACGAAUAAGGACCGGCUAAUUCCGUGCCAGCAGCCGCGGUAAUACGGAAGGUCCAGGCGUUAUCCGGAUUUAUUGGGUUUAAAGGGAGCGUAGGCCGUGGAUUAAGCGUGUUGUGAAAUGUAGACGCUCAACGUCUGAAUUGCAGCGCGAACUGGUUCACUUGAGUAUGCACAACGUAGGCGGAAUUCGUCGUGUAGCGGUGAAAUGCUUAGAUAUGACGAAGAACUCCGAUUGCGAAGGCAGCUGACGGGAGCGCAACUGACGCUUAAGCUCGAAGGUGCGGGUAUCGAACAGGAUUAGAUACCCUGGUAGUCCGCACAGUAAACGAUGGAUGCCCGCUGUUGGUACCUGGUAUCAGCGGCUAAGCGAAAGCAUUAAGCAUCCCACCUGGGGAGUACGCCGGCAACGGUGAAACUCAAAGGAAUUGACGGGGGCCCGCACAAGCGGAGGAACAUGUGGUUUAAUUCGAUGAUACGCGAGGAACCUUACCCGGGCUUGAAUUGCAGAGGAAGGAUUUAGAGAUAAUGACGCCCUUCGGGGUCUCUGUGAAGGUGCUGCAUGGUUGUCGUCAGCUCGUGCCGUGAGGUGUCGGCUUAAGUGCCAUAACGAGCGCAACCCCUCUCUUCAGUUGCCAUCAGGUUAAGCUGGGCACUCUGGAGACACUGCCACCGUAAGGUGUGAGGAAGGUGGGGAUGACGUCAAAUCAGCACGGCCCUUACGUCCGGGGCUACACACGUGUUACAAUGGGGGGUACAGAAGGCCGCUACCCGGCGACGGGAUGCUAAUCUUUAAAACCUCUCUCAGUUCGGAUCGGAGUCUGCAACCCGACUCCGUGAAGCUGGAUUCGCUAGUAAUCGCGCAUCAGCCAUGGCGCGGUGAAUACGUUCCCGGGCCUUGUACACACCGCCCGUCAAGCCAUGAAAGCCGGGGGUGCCUGAAGUCCGUGACCGGAAGGAUCGGCCUAGGGCAAAACUGGUGAUUGGGGCUAAGUCGUAACAAGGUAGCCGUACCGGAAGGUGCGGCUG